GGCCUUGUGCAGAGAAUCUCAACUGAGAUAUGUUCAGCAUAUGUUUGCUCCAACAUCACAUCAAAUACCAAGCCACAAUCAAGCAGGAGUACAAGUAUGCACUUGAGAUCUCUCGAUUUAGAUUUAGAUGGGUAGUGGAGUCUGCCGAUCGAAGGGUUUCUGCCUGGUGGUGCUGAAUGGGUGGGUGCAUAUGCGUCUAGCAUUUCGCAUCCAUGGACGACAAUACGGAGAUCCAGCUUAUUCCUGGCCUGUUACUUAAGAAUGGGGCAUCGCUUGGCUAUCUUCUGCAGCACCGCCGCUGGAGCGACUUCUGCCAGGCAGCCCUAUGAAUAGCUCAGUUUCGACAUCCAUGUUGUCGUUGGUGGUGUUGAUGUUACGGUCCGGGUUCUCAUCUUCGGCCCGGACAGUCAAAGGAGCAGACAAGGGAGGCUGAUUCUUACACUGCACAAAGUUCAUGAUCAAGGGAAGCAAAUCAGCUUCAUCUCCUGGUCGAUGUUAAUGCAAAAAAGAGACAAACACGACAUUAGGAACAGAUGAUUGGUCCUGCGUUUCAGGUUAUAUAUAUAUUUAUUUAUUUAUAGUAAGUACGAAGUUGGUGAGGUACCUUCUCUCUCAGUUUGGCAACCUGCUCCUCAAGCAGCUUUGUCUAGUAUGCAGAGAAUUGGUUGUAAGUUUGUGCACAUCAUAUAUAUAGAUAAAUUAAUUGCUGAU
rnacentral:sRNA from 1 species